ACGCUCGACACCUACGGGGGCAGCAGUAGGGAAUCUUCCACAAUGGACGCAAGUCUGAUGGAGCAACGCCGCGUGAGUGAAGAAGGUUUUCGGAUCGUAAAGCUCUGUUGUUGGUGAAGAAGGAUAGAGGUAGUAACUGGCCUUUAUUUGACGGUAAUCAACCAGAAAGUCACGGCUAACUACGUGCCAUCAGCCGCGGUAAUCUGAGCGGGCUGGCAAGGC
rnacentral:rRNA from 1 species